rnacentral:rRNA from 1 species
CCCUUAGAUGUUCUGGGCUGCACGCGCGCUACACUGAAGCGUUCAACGAGUAUUCACCUUGCCCGGGAGGGUUGGGUAAUCUUUUGAAAACGCUUCGUGAUGGGGAUAGAUUAUUGCAAUUAUUAAUCUUCAACGAGGAAUUCCUAGUAAGCGCGAGUCAUCAGCUUGCGUUGAUUACGUCCCUGCCCUUUGUACACACCGCCCGUCGCUCCUACCGAUUGAAUGGUCCGGUGAAGCGUUUGGACUAUGGUUUUCUGAUGGUCCGCCGUUGGAUUACCGUGGGAAGUUCGUUAAACCUUAUCAUUUAGAGGAAGGAGAAGUCGUAACA